UACGAAGGGUGCAAGCGUUACUCGGAAUUACUGGGCGUAAAGGGUGCGUAGGUGGUCGUUUAAGUCCGUUGUGAAAGCCCUGGGCUUAACCUAGGAAGUGCAUUCGAAACUCCCGUGGCUUGAGUUCUGGAGAGGGAAGCGGAAUUCUCGGUGUAGAGGUGAAAUUCGUAGAUAUCGAGAGGAACACCGGUGGCGAAGGCGGCUUCCUGGACAGGGACUGACGCUGAGACGCGAAAGCGUGGGGAGCAAACAGG
rnacentral:rRNA from 1 species